rnacentral:rRNA from 2 species
UGGGGAAUAUUGGACAAUGGGCGCAAGCCUGAUCCAGCCAUGCCGCGUGAGUGAUGAAGGCCCUAGGGUUGUAAAGCUCUUUCACCGGUGAAGAUAAUGACGGUAACCGGAGAAGAAGCCCCGGCUAACUUCGUGCCAGCAGCCGCGGUAAUACGAAGGGGGCUAGCGUUGUUCGGAUUUACUGGGCGUAAAGCGCACGUAGGCGGACUAUUAAGUCAGGGGUGAAAUCCCGGGGCUCAACCCCGGAACUGCCUUUGAUACUGGUAGUCUUGAGUUCGAGAGAGGUGAGUGGAAUUCCGAGUGUAGAGGUGAAAUUCGUAGAUAUUCGGAGGAAAACCAGUGGCGAAGGCGGCUCACUGGCUCGAUACUGACGCUGAGGUGCGAAAGCGUGGGGAGCAAACAGG